rnacentral:rRNA from 1 species
GAUGAACGCUGGCGGCGUGCCUAAUACAUGCAAGUCGAGCGAACAGACGAGGAGUUUGCCCCCUUGACGUUAGCGGCGGACGGGUGAGUAACAUGUGGAUAACCUACCUAUAAGACUGGGAUAACUUCGGGACACCGGCGCUAAUACCGGAUAAUAUAUUGAACCGCAUGGUUCAAUAGUGAAAGACGGUUUUGCUGCUACUUAUAGAUGGAUCCGCGCCGUAUUAGCUAGUUGGUAAGGUAACGGCUUACCAAGGCAACGAUGCGUAGCCGACCUGAGAGGGUGAUCGGCCACACUGGAACUGAGACACGGUCCAGACUCCUACGGGAGGCAGCAGUAGGGAAUCUUCCGCAAUGGGCGAAAGCCUGACGGAGCAACGCCGCGUGAGUGAUGAAGGUCUUCGGAUCGUAAAACUCUGUUAUUAGGGAAGAACAAAUGUGUAAGUAACUAUGCACGUCUUGACGGUACCUAAUCAGAAAGCCACGGCUAACUACGUG